GUGCAGGGACAAGGAUUGGAAGGUAAAGUCCUUAUUCAGACCAAUCUUCCUGCAGGGACUAUACGUAGCUUUGGGAAAGGGACUUUGAAACACUUUGAUUUUCUUUUCAGUAAUAUAAUUAUGGUACUUAUUCUUUUAUGUUAUUAAAUAUUCUUUUGGAUAACACUGAGGAAGGGGUGUUUGUGAGAAACAGCACUGGUAUUUAGAGUUCCCAGCUAUGAAGGAAAUGCUCUUCACAGGUAUUAGAGUACAACUGACUUGAAAAAAAAUUCAUCUCUCCGUGGUUAUAUUUCUACAAGAAGUUGUUUAAAUUUAAGUAAAAUAUUAAUAUAUGUUAUUUGUCUAACAGUGAAAGAGAAAAAAUCAAGAACAAUAAAACAUUAGAGAAGAAAAUAGAAAAAUCCUGUGAAAAAGGUCCAAAUGCAGGCUGCAAAGAGGGGAAGCCAGUCCUAGCAAACACCUAACCAACUAAAUGACCUGAAAAAAAAGUCUGUCAGCCUCUAUCUACCUGGAUCUCAUUAGUAAAAUUAGGAGGCAGGAUGAAAUAAUUUAUAAGGUUGCUAUUAGCUUUAAAAUUUUUAUGAGUUCAGAGCCUUUAAAAACAUGAUGUCUUCAGCAGAAAACACCACUGUGAAUUUUUUUUCAAUAUUCCUUUUAACUAUAAUGGAAACAAGUUAAAAAUAAUAGGUCUAAUGUUCAUAAAUCCAUUAAAUAUUUACUGGUCACUCUCUUGAUGACUAUUUUGAUUUAAUACAUGGUAUAUAUAAAUCAUCAAUAUUUUCAAGUUCAAAAAUGCACAGGGAGGAAUUUUAUGGCUUCUGUGAUGGCUUUGAACAAAAGUGUAAUUUACUUCCUUGUUUGUGUAAGUGUUUAUAUACUGAUCAUUUGUCAGUAAGCCUGAGAAUCUAAGCACAAUAUUAUAUAUGCAUGCUAAGUGCUUAGUUUAUCAUUAUGAUUUUCCUCUUGAAUUUAAAUUGUGUAAUGCAGAUAAUUUAACUUUUCUAGGGUUCUCGUUUAUUUUUAAAAUGUUAGUGUCCAGGUAACAACCAGAAAAAAAAAAAUUCUAAGCCAUGUGGUAUGCUAAUACUGAAAAUAAAAUGAGUGUUAUUUCCCUUGAGGGAAAUGUAAUUAAAGAUAAAGGGGAGAUAUGCCUAGAAUAAUGACAUUCACUAUACAUAACUAAUAAGAUAAUAUUGUUUUAAAAUUCUGUAAAUUUUUCUUAUUUUACUUAAUUUUAUGUCCCUGCUGGUAUUUUUGCUUUUUCAUAAAAAUUAUCAUUUAUUUUUCUCAACUGCAUAUUGCCAUCUUCAUUUUUUAAUUUUCUCACAUAUUCAUAGAAUUGUUCUCUGUAAUAGAUACUGUACAGUAAUUAUUUGUUGAUCGAUUAACCUUUUCAAUGCUACUUCCGACACCUACUUCUCAUCCUCCGUGUAACAGAUACUGUCAGUUACCUAUCCUUAACAGCCUUUCCACUCCCAACUUCUGUGAAUGGACAAGAGAUGCAAUUGUGAUCACUGAACAUGAGGCAACAUCUUCUAGGAAGACAUUUCCAUAGUCUUCAGACAAAAGGGAGAGAUAUCUUUUCAGACAAUCUUUGAACAAUCCUAUAUGAAGCUUACCUGAAGUUGCUGUAGCCGUUUGGCAAGUCUGGGGAGACUAACAGACACACUGAGGAUAGCAGAAAAUAAAGAUAGAAACAGCCCAGGUUUUUGGUGAAAUUCAUGAGCUUCUGAAUAACGAACCCCAUACCACCCUACCUCUAUAAAAGAAUUCUUAAUAUGUGACAUAAUAAAAUUUCUUUAUUAUUUAA
ensembl:lncRNA novel transcript